AGUCUGGGAUACCAUUUGGAAACAGGUGCUAAUACCGGAUAAUAAAGCAGAUCGCAUGAUCAGCUUUUGAAAGGCGGCGUAAGCUGUCGCUAAGGGAUGGCCCCGCGGUGCAUUAGCUAGUUGGUAAGGUAACGGCUUACCAAGGCGACGAUGCAUAGCCGAGUUGAGGGACUGAUCGGCCACAUUGGGACUGAGACACGGCCCAAACUCCUACGGGAGGCAGCAGUAGGGAAUCUUCCACAAUGGACGCAAGUCUGAUGGAGCAACGCCGCGUGAGUGAAGAAGGUUUUCGGAUCGUAAAGCUCUGUUGUUGGUGAAGAAGGAUAGAGGUAGUAACUGGCCUUUAUUUGACGGUAAUCAACCAGAAAGUCACGGCUAACUACGUGCCAGCAGCCGCGGUAAUACGUAGGUGGCAAGCGUUGUCCGGAUUUAUUGGGCGUAAAGCGAGCGCAGGCGGAAAAAUAAGUCUAAUGUGAAAGCCCUCGGCUUAACCGAGGAACUGCAUCGGAAACUGUUUUUCUUGAGUGCAGAAGAGGAGAGUGGAACUCCAUGUGUAGCGGUGGAAUGCGUAGAUAUAUGGAAGAA
rnacentral:rRNA from 1 species